GGGGGGGGGCAGAUGCUCAGGGCUGAGACUAGAGGAUGCGCCUCUGGACUGGCUGCAUUUCAGGGACAGACACUCACAGUCUGGGGAUAACUUACUGCAUUUGGGGAAUGAGGGAAUGAAUCUGAGUCAAAGAGGAAGCUUGCGAACAGUUUUGAAAUUUGCCCCACAGCUGUCAGGAGAGCUGUUAAAUGUUAAAAGCAGUCAAGAAGAAAUUGAAGAAGCAGCUGGUGGGACUGCAUAGAACACCAAGAUAGUGCCACAUCAUUGCACUCCUGAAAAUAGUAGGUUUUAAGAAGUGGAAUCGAGUUGUCAACGAUGCCAAGCACCAGUUAGAGGCCAGGCUUCCAGGGAUGCCAUGGUGCUAUGCUGGGAAGUUUUCAACAGACGCUUAGUGACCAGACUUGAAGGUGACCAUCAGGAAUGGAAGACAAAGGACAAGCCCCAGGGCUGCGAGUGGAAUGUUCCACCCAGUGUCAUUCCUGGCUAAGGAAGAGCGUAAAGUUGGUGGUCCUGUCAGGACCUCUUGCCCACUAGGUCCACGAGAAGCCACUUGUUUUGAACUAAAAGCAGAUGUUGAGAGAAGCCAGCAGUGGUUUAAUGAAGGAAACAAAGAAACCCCAGGGACUCACCUUUUUUCCCCCCUUUGGCUGGUUGCUCAAAGAGGGGGGCCCUGAAGACCCUCUGUUUGGGCAGAGUCGGUGACUGUAGGGCAGAGAGAAGGACUGGGCUUUGGAGUUGACUUGAGCACCCCAGGCAUCAGCUCAUGCUCACAGGUGAACUGUGACAUAGACUUUCCUCUGUUCUGUCAUUCCUCUGUUGGAGCAGCACCUAUGGAGCCCUGUGUUACAUCUCAUGCUCCUGUCCACAUCCUUGAGUCUGCAGGGAGAGCUGCUAUCCAUGGAAGGGACCAUGAAAGAGUCUGUGGAAAGGACCACAGAAGAGACUGCAGGAUCAGGUUGGCCAGGCACCUCUAGUGACUUCUCCCAGUAGGAGCGGAUAGCCCCAGAGAUGGUGUGAAACAGAUGGAAAAAUCAUAACAGAGUUGAAUGCUCUCACUGGGACGGGGUGGGGUGUCUCCAAAUCAAACUGAAGGACCUAGAAGGCCCUGGACUGACAGCUCUGACACUUGGGGGGGGGGAUACCAUUUUGGAAAAGUGAUCUAAAACUUUUGGUAACCCAGUCUCCUCUCUUACAUGGCGAUUAUAGCAGUUCUAGUCUGAUUAGGUGGUUAUGAGGUUUCAGUGAAGCAAAUGUUCAAAAGGUUCUUUUCAUCAGAGUUUCUUUUAAGUUAAAAAAAAUUGGAAUGUCCCUAAAAAGAGUACCUGGUCUCAGUAUCCUUGGGACUUGGUAUUUGGAGAGAGAGAGAGAGAGAGAGAGAGAGAGAGAGAGAGAGGGAGGAAGAGAGUAGAAAUACUUCCCCCUCAUAGGAAAGUCAGCAGACUUAAGACUCUAAGGAGGGUCCAGAAGUCAAGCUUGGAUUUCUGUGGGGCUUCAGAUGUCUUUAUUUUAGAUCUGAGUUUCUCAGCUCCAGCUCUGUUGACAUUUGGGUCUUGGUAUUAUCUUUGUCAUGGGAAUUAAAAGACAUAUAUGGGCUCUGUGGCUCACCCUCUGAGAUGCUAGGAAACCCUCUACCCUCAUAUCUCAUCCCCAUAUCCCACCACCAAUUUUGACAGUGACAAAAUGUCUCCAGAUAUUACUAUCUCCCAUGCAGUGGAAAGAGAAGUUACCUCUGGUUGACAAAUACUACUUUGUAACAUUACCUACAUAAUGAGUUCUUGGCAGGUCUGAUUAUUUGCUGGCUAAAGUACAGAAAGGUCACUUUGCUAAAAGUCUGGAAGGCCCAGGAUGUCAUGGUAGAGGGGUUUUCAAACUUGGAGAACCCAUAGGUUGCAAAUCCAAGCCCCAUUUGAUAUAAAAGACUGGUUCCUAAAUCUGACAGUUGGAUCAAUUCUACCUGUUCUUUUAAUCUACAUUCCAUGCAAGCUUAGAGGAUUCUUAGAGCAUUAAGUUUAGUAUAAAUCCUUUACUAACUAGUUACUAAAAUAUGAGCUACAAACAGUUACUUCUCUGGAGAACUAGGUCUUGAGGUAAUCUUCUUUUUAAGUAGAAACACUAAAAAAAAAAAAAUCAGAUUUCAGAAUUGGUACUUCCUUUUUUAGGGAGAGGCCAGAUUAGAGUCUUAAAGAAAAGGAAAGCAGUGUGGAAUCACCUCAUCUACAUAGAUGGCAGAGCUGAUGCUGGAGUGAGUGUGCCUGGUCUCCACAGAGCCAGGGGGAGGCAGGGCACUUGGAAUAGCCAGAGAGAAUUGCUAAGGAAGAUGAUGAUGUCAGGGUUGGCCUUGCAAGGGCCAUCUUGGAAGCAAUAGAGUAAUAGAAGUGGAAGGUUUCUUUGUUUGUUAGUUUGUUUGUUUUGUUUUUUAAAGCAAGGCACAAACAUGGGCUCUGGAGUGUUUGCAGAUGGGCAUAGACAUUGGUCUAGGCUGAGCUCCUUCCAGCAGUGGAUGGUGAAGAGGGCCUGCAGGUGGACUCACUGCUUGAUGGUGGGAAGAAACAACUGGGUUAGUGAUUCAGGAUCCUUCAUGGUCAAAACAAACAAAUUUUUAAACCUAUUUUAGGUCAUUGUUUACGUAUACCCUCUUGGGCAAAGAAGUUCUUACUUGGGGAGAACAGACUAUAUUUUAUCAGCAGGGUCUGAGAGGAGGCCUAUGUGGAAGGUUUGUAUAUAUGUGUGUGGGGUAGGGAGCACAGGCGCAUCAGUGUGGGAUGGGCAUCUUGGCUCUGGUGUGAUCAUGAAAGUCGUGGAAAAAACAAGUGGCCCAUAACACCAGCAGCAGCUGGUGUUGGGUCAGGCUUCUCGAGCAACUCCUUCAAUUGACUCAUUAUUGAUGUUGGAAGCAAGAUCCCACCAGUCCUGUUGGCCAUCCCAGGAACUCUCUGGUCCUGGCAUAGAUUUCCCUAGAAGUUUCUGGUGGCUGCUUGCUUCUUGGAGCCAUUAUGAGAAAUUUGGUUUGUUAAAGAGUCUCUCCUCUUUCUUGGUUUGUCCUAAACCCUGUCUCCACUUGGCAGUUUCCAUUUGCUCCUUCAUGGAUUCUAUGGGCAUUGUUGGAUUUCCUGUUUGGAGUGCAAAUGCAUGGUUUUGUUUUCAAAUGUGAACUUGGGGUCUGAGAUUCACCCCAUCCCACUCCCCCGUUCAUUUUCACUUCCUCAAGCAGCUUCUGCUCUUUCUCCAUCCUGAUUGGCUAUUGUGCACCAACGUGACCUACAGCCAGUGGUUUUGCCUUCAUGUUCUAGGUGAACCUUGACCUUGUGCAGGGAACUCACAUGACCCCUUAAAUCUUUCUUUUUCCUCUCUUGCCCACUAGGAGUGAGUCCUCUCACUCAGGGGCAUAAGGCUGCAACUUUUUUUUUUUUUUUUUCAAACCACUCUUUUUCCCUCUGGCUUUCUUUGUGUUGCAAGGCCAUGACUUGCUGCUGAUGACCUUCUGAAGACUUCUGUGGUACUUGUGUGGCUGGCUCUUGGUUUCCCAGGAGGGUAUGGGCUGUGCACCCACAUUGUUGUCCUGGCUGUGGCCCAGUGAGACCUCCACCCUCUGUGUGGGAGAGAACACAUUAUGGAUAGCACCUGAUUUGACUGGCCCAACUUUCUCACCCUGAAUAUCAUUUGCUUUCUGACUUUCAGCACACUAGGUAUUGGAAAGUUGGGCUUUUUACCCAUGACUCCAGCCUCUCCCUAGUUGAGGAAUGCUCUGACGGUGUUAGAUGCUCCAGAAGCUGUGACCUCCUUGACUUAUGGAGUCAGGAUUUUCCCUUCUCUCUAUAUGUUUGUUUCCCAUUAAAUAAUGAGCACACAGUUCAAGGGUAAUAGCUCAGUUGGUGCAGUUCAAUAUGAGACACAUCGACAGGCAUCAAACCAAACUGAAUAGACUCAGCAUAAAUAUGGCAAGAGUCUAUCCACCAUGAUCUUGAGGGCCUCUUUAGUGUCGCUCUAAUUUCCAAGCAGCUAUACGGUUUCUCAACCAGGGUUUUCAGUACUGGAUGAACUUGUCUAAUCCUCAAGGCUCUGCUUAUGCCUAGUCUUGAUCACCUGAUUGUGAUUAGAAUCUCUUCAUCCCCUUAUACUUUUGCCUGGCACCCUUCAACUGCUUACCAGUGACCCCUGCUGUGGUUCCAGCUGUCCAGUCUGGAGUGAAACACCCUAUCUGCUGAGGAGUAUCUCCUGACUUGAGUGAUUUUCAGGAAAAUGUUCCGAGGAAACUGACAUUGGGAAGGGCCACUGGAGCAACAGCCCCUUCCUUCAGCACUUAAAUUACCUUGAGGCAAGACAGGUGCUUCUCCCUAAACCAUUACUCUGGGGCCCCCUCCUGUGGGCUCUUCUUACUGUGAACUGGCAGUAACCCCAGGAUGCUGCCCUCUCCAUGAAGGCUUGGAGCUGGGGCGGGGGU